rnacentral:lncRNA from 1 species
UGACUUCCUUGUUGUUUGUUCCAGGCUCGGGACCUGAAAAUCCAGCCCAGCCCGGAGGCUUUCAUCUGGGCUACGCGCUUAGAGAUUCCAGUAAAGCAUAUAGGUUUCAUUUUCUAUGGUCUUCACCUAGUACAGUUUUGCUGUCUCCCUAGAGCUCCCGGCCUUGGUCGGAAGUUCCAUUUUGCCUACAUCUCUGUCUAUCUCUUCCACUUCCAAUGGGAACGCCGCACAAAGGAACCAGCAUGGGCAGAACAAUAGGACGUACGGUUUAAAAUUGCACAGUAAUUGUUUAAGGGCUUAUGAGCAUCGUUCAUUUUAUCAGAGGGAAUCGGAAGAAGAAGUAAACAGAUUCUCCUCCAAGUCUCCUGCAACCGAAACUCGCAUUUAUAAAGAUAAGCCCACGGAAAGGAUAAGCUAACAAUUGAAGUCGGCGGUCUCGAAGGAAUAGAGGGGCUGAAACGGAGAAGAGCAAGAGCCACAACAGGAGCUCAGACAGAGACCCCAGAUCGGAAGCGAAAAACAGAAAUACGAAGUACGGGGGCAGUCAUUCGUCCAGUAAAUCGAGGGAUAUUGAUGAUUCGCCAAGGAAGAGGAGACAGGAGGAGUGAAGAGAUCUACAGAAAACAUAAAGAACGAAGUCUGUGCGUUCAAUUGGGGAUCGAUCAAAAUGAAAUUGGAAGAAAAAGCCCAAAGGAGACGAGGAAAAUCACCAAAAUGAUCAAUCAGUAAAGCGGAUUCGGCCACGAGCGAGCGAGCGAGAGAGAGAAAGAGAGAGAGGCGGGGCCAUCUUACCUUUUCUAAGCUCGACGAGUGGGAAAAUGGAGAGGAACGGAUCCAUAACGCGGAGAGGCUGAGGUCACGGAGCUUCUUCUCAAACCCCCUUCUCCUCUCCUCUCAGUUCCUCUCUCCCUCCUCCUCCUCCUCCUUCACCACCUCCUCUCUCCCAACCCCUACUUCGACCUGCUCCUCUUCCCCACUCACCUCCCCCGCGGCGGCCCCCGACGUCGCGCUUCCUCCCCCCGCCGCUGCUGGGCUUCCAGAGCACUCCAGCGCCACAGAAAAUACGCCAGGUGAGAAUUACAGCGAGAAACAGCUCCCCCAAAUGGGAACCCCGAACCCCACCCACACCCUCU